rnacentral:lncRNA from 1 species
UAAAUAGAAUUUUAAAACACAAAAAUAAAAGAUAAAAAAAUCUCUAGUUCUUUAUAGAAUUUUAAAACACAAAAAUAAAAGGCAAAAAAAUCCCUAGCUCUAAGGAAAAGCCCGAAGAUCAAAACCCCAAGCUAAAUACCAAGGAGAAGAGGUUGUCACCUCACCUCUCUUCCAAAAUCGCCUCUCCCAUCGUCAAAAGAGAUAAACUAAAGCCAGCUUCAGGGAGGUUAAAGCUCUUAAUAGCCAAAUACUUAAUAAGCUUAGAAGCAGCUAGUCAGACUUCAAGAUAGAAUCACC